rnacentral:rRNA from 1 species
UAGGGAAUCUUCGGCAAUGGACGGAAGUCUGACCGAGCAACGCCGCGUGAGUGAAGAAGGUUUUCGGAUCGUAAAGCUCUGUUGUUAAGGAAGAACGUGUGUGAGAGUGGAAAGUUCACACAGUGACGGUACUUAACCAGAAAGGGACGGCUAACUACGUGCCAGCAGCCGCGGUAAUACGUAGGUCCCGAGCGUUGUCCGGAUUUAUUGGGCGUAAAGCGAGCGCAGGCGGUUAGAUAAGUCUGAAGUGAAAGGCAGUGGCUCAACCAUUGUAGGCUUUGGAAACUGUUUAACUUGAGUGCAGAAGGGGAGAGUGGAAUUCCAUGUGUAGCGGUGAAAUGCGUAGAUAUAUGGAGGAACACCGGUGGCGAAAGCGGCUCUCUGGUCUGUAACUGACGCUGAGGCUCGAAAGCGUGGGGAGCGAACAGGAUUAGAUACCCUGGUAGUCCACGCCGUAAACGAUGAGUGCUAGGUGUUAGGUCCUUUCCGGGACUUAGUGCCGCAGCUAACGCAUUAAGCACUCCGCCUGGGGAGUACGACCGCAAGGUUG